GAUGAACGCUGGCGGCGUGCCUAAUACAUGCAAGUCGAGCGAACGGACGAGAAGCUUGCUUCUCUGAUGUUAGCGGCGGACGGGUGAGUAACACGUGGAUAACCUACCUAUAAGACUGAGAUAACUUCGGGAAACCGGAGCUAAUACCGGAUGAUAUUUUGAACCGCAUGGUUCAAAAGUGAAAGACGGUCUUGCUGUCACUUAUAGAUGGAUCCGCGCUGCAUUAGCUAGUUGGUAAGGUAACGGCUUACCAAGGCAACGAUGCAUAGCCGACCUGAGAGGGUGAUCGGCCACACUGGAACUGAGACACGGUCCAGACUCCUACGGGAGGCAGCAGUAGGGAAUCUUCCGCAAAGGGCGAAAGCCUGACGGAGCAACGCCGAGUGAGUGAUGAAGGUCUUCGGAUCGUAAAACUCUGUUAUUAGGGAAGAACAUAUGUGUAAGUAACUGUGCACAUCUUGACGGUACCUAAUCAGAAAGCCACGGCUAACUACGUG
rnacentral:rRNA from 1 species